UAGGGAGCAAGCGUUAUCCGGUAUUAUUGGGUGUAAAGGGUGCGUAGACGGGAAUUUAAGUUAGUUGUGAAAUCCCUCGGCUUAACUGAGGAACUGCAACUAAAACUGGAUUUCUUGAGUGCGGGAGAGGAAAGUGGAAUUCCUAGUGUAGCGGUGAAAUGCGUAGAUAUUAGGAGGAACACCAGUGGCGAAGGCGACUUUCUGGACCGUAACUGACGUUGAGGCACGAAAGUGUGGGGAGCAAA
rnacentral:rRNA from 1 species